GAGGUGCAGGUGGAACGAGUGUGCGCAUGCGCCGCCCCCACGCUCCGGCGUUCUGUUGGAGAGGCGGCGACGGUUUCUAACGUUGUGACUGGGGUGUUGCGGGUGCCUCAUUAUCUUUUUAACAUCUUCACCUGUGUGGAUCCCUGCCUCUCUACACCGUCUCGGUGCUCUGAAGACUGGGCCUUGCAUAUUCGCGUCAGGACACCCCAUCCACUGACCCAGGAUGGCCAGCUACUGGGAUAAUAUUUCAAAAUCGCAAGUUCGACUUUCAAAGAAAAGAUGCCUCUCACUUCUUUCCACCUCAUUGAUGCUGAGUACCCAGAAACACUGGAGCCAUAAUCCUUGCUGACUCUUGAUGAUAACCUUAAAGUCUUACCAGUUAUAUGAUCCUGCCCUCCCCUCUUAUCUUAAAAAAGUAAAUCCAUGGUCACACUUGAAAGAGCCCUUCUAGACUAA